GACGAACGCUGGCGGCGUGCUUAACACAUGCAAGUCGAACGGUGAAGCGCUUGCCUUUUUGGUGGGUGUGGAUGAGUGGCGAACGGGUGAGUAACACGUGAGUAACCUGCCCUCUUCUUCUGGAUAACCCCAUGAAAGUGGGGCUAAUACGGGGUAUUCCGGGUCUGUCGCAUGGCGGGUUUGGGAAAGAUUGCGCCUUUGGGUGUUUUCGGUGGGGGAUGGGCUCGCGGCCUAUCAGCUUGUUGGUGGGGUGAUGGCCUACCAAGGCGGUGACGGGUAGCCGGCCUGAGGGGGUGGACGGCCCCACUGGGACUGCGCCACGGCCCAGACUCCUGCGGGAGGCAGCAGUGGGGAAUAUUGCACAAUGGGCGCAAGCCUGAUGCAGCGACGCCGCGUGAGGGAUGGAGGCCUUCGGGUUGUGAACCUCUUUCGCCAGUGAAGCAGGCCUGCUCCUGUGUGGGUGGGUUGACGGUAGCUGGAUAAGAAGCGCCGGCUAACUACGUG
rnacentral:rRNA from 1 species